UACGAAGGACCCGAGCGUUAUCCGGAUUCAUUGGGUUUAAAGGGUGCGUAGGCGGAUUGAUAAGUCAGUGGUGAAAGCCCAUCGCUCAACGAUGGAACUGCCAUUGAUACUGUCGAUCUUGAGUACAUUUGAAGUGGGCGGAAUGUGUCAUGUAGCGGUGAAAUGCUUAGAUAUGACACAGAACACCGAUUGCGAAGGCAGCUCACUAAACUGUAACUGACGCUGAGGCACGAAAGCGUGGGGAGCGAACAGG
rnacentral:rRNA from 1 species